rnacentral:rRNA from 1 species
GACGAACGCUGGCGGCGUGCCUAAUACAUGCAAGUUGAGCGCUGAAGGUUGGUACUUGUACCGACUGGAUGAGCAGCGAACGGGUGAGUAACGCGUGGGGAAUCUGCCUUUGAGCGGGGGACAACAUUUGGAAACGAAUGCUAAUACCGCAUAAAAACUUUAAACACAAGUUUUAAGUUUGAAAGAUGCAAUUGCAUCACUCAAAGAUGAUCCCGCGUUGUAUUAGCUAGUUGGUGAGGUAAAGGCUCACCAAGGCGAUGAUACAUAGCCGACCUGAGAGGGUGAUCGGCAACAUUGGGACUGAGACACGGCCCAAACUCCUACGGGAGGCAGCAGUAGGGAAUCUUCGGCAAUGGACGAAAGUCUGACCGAGCAACGCCGCGUGAGUGAAGAAGGUUGUCGGAUCGUAAAACUCUGUUGGUAGAGAAGAACGUUGGUGAGAGUGGAAAGCUCAUCAAGUGACGGUAACUACCCAGAAAGGGACGGCUAACUACGUG